CCCGCUUAUUUAUGUCUUUCAAAUAUUCAUCAGUAUCUUGAGUAAUCUGAGGAAGAUGAAGAAGAUUUCUUAGCUCUAAGGUUGAAGAAGAAGGGAAAAAACUCAAAGGAAGUUUCAAUCAUGACAGAUUUUGAUCCACUCUGCACACCUCUAGUGUUCUAAUCGAUUUGAGCUACACAAAAAUAAUUAAGAGGCCAAGAGGAAAUAGAUCGGGUUUACACGUCGGAAAACUAGUCUAAGACUGUGAGUGAGAAAAACAUGUUUUGAAAACUAUUCUUUUUAAAAAGAAAAACUAUUUCUUAUAACCAAAUGUUUAACAUGCUUGACUAUGUGUUUAUAAAUGAUAUAUGAUUUCUAUGUUUAGCUUUCGAGUAUCAGUUUCGAGCUUAGAUUUCAUAAUGGAAUACAUAUGUUAGCACGUAAUUAAUGAGUUUUGGAAAGCAAUUGAAAUGACAUUUGUUUAAGCAAAGCAUAGUUUAAGCAAGAAUUAUUUAAGAUUUUCGGUUUUUCCAUAAACAAGUUGAGUAAGUUUGAGUUUAUGCAAGGUUAAGAUAAGCAUACAUGUUUUAAUGUUUUCAUAUGCUUUAUGAUAUUUUCAUUGACUAAAUGACUGAGAUCUUGAGCCUGAGGCUAGAGGAUACCGUGUGCACACAAGUUACGUUUUGUUGUUUGUAUUGAGUGUACUUCGUGACAAUGAUGCUGUCGUGAGUGCUGGGCGAGCCCCACUACGACAAAGACGAUGGGAGUGCUGGGCGAACCCCACUACAUCGUAAAAUUAAUAAAUGUUGGUUGUACUAGGCGUGUCUUACACAACGUAAUGAAGUCAUGUUAGUUAAAUAGUUUAUGAAUAGGAAAUGUCUUGCUGGAUUUUAUAGAUAUACGGAUUAAAUGUUUGAAGGAGAUGUUUUCUGAAAAUAUUUACAGUUAACACUUUGCUUAUUAGAUUUAUAAGUUUUCAAAGAUUAUCAUGAGUUUUGAUUUACAGUUUUAAAGUAUUGUCACUCACUUGGCUUUAUAGCUUAACCUUCCGAAAUAUUUUACCCACUUUGCACGUAGAGAUCAAGUUCUCGAUGCUUGAUAGACUACCUUAGUAUGUUGAAGCUCCGAUAUCGAUUGCCAGUACGUGGUCAGGGUUGUUCAUUGAGUAUGUUGUGUUUGAUGUAUAUAUAUUUGUAUGAUAUACAUACUUUACAGUUUGUGAAAGCUUUAGGAGCUGCGGUUGUGUAAACCUUUGUUCGUUAUGUUUUGGUUAAGGUGUCUCCAGGUUUACUUGCAAAAUCAGUUAUUUUCGAGCUACA